UUGACGCAAAACGAUAUAAGCCCUGCCUCUCUUAUAUCAAUACGGCUCCUAGGCCGCGCCAAAUGAAAAGCGUCAUGUUGUGUUUA
rnacentral:sRNA from 1 species